AGAUUGGAGACGUCGGUUCCAAUGUUCACUCCCACAAAAGUCUCGUUCUCGAAGUCUUGUUGAUUCUUCAACUCUGCUGUUACCCCUCUAGCUUCUGCUGCAAGUGAACAACCCAAUUCAUCAUCAUUUCAGAAGGAACAGAAUUCUUGCAUUAUCUUCUUCGACAAUCUUGGUUACCAAUCACAGAGCUGGGGAUCAUCCUACGGCAACCAAAAAAUUUACAGGUCUCAAGCAUCUCCAUCUUGAAGUGGAGUCGCAGUGUAGUCGAUACUUCAAUUAUUUACUUGUGGCGUAUUCAAAAUUACGAUUUUCUCCUCUAGUGAAGUUCCAGGAUAACCCUCUUUGGCCGACAGCACCAGAAGGAUCACGGGCUCCUUGUGAUUUCGAAAUCCUAGUCCUUGUGUUAAACGGUUCGGGCCCGGUUUUUCAGCUCCGUUUUAAUUGAAAAAUCCCAUCCCUAUUAGGGGUGUCAAUGGUUCGGUUUGGACCGGUUUCGAUCCGAUUUGAAUUGGUUUCAGUGUGAGAACGGUGAAACCAAACCAAGAAGGAAAUUCUGGUUUCGAUUUUGCUGUGGUUUGGCUUUGAUUUCUUGUAUUGGUUUGGUUUCAAUUUUUGUCCAGUUUGGGUUUGAUUUUUUAUACAAAACUAUGUAAAAACUUGGCGUUUUAAAUAAAAUUUGGAUUUUUUUCAA